AUGGGGUGGGAAGGAGUGAGGUGUGUGUCUGCGAGUACAUGUGUGUGUGCAUGUAUCCACACCCAUACAGCCCGUCCUGUAUCCAUCAGUGUGUGUGUAUGUACACAUCUCCACACCCAUACAACCCAUCCUGUAUCCCCCAUCAGUGUGUGUGUGUACACAUCUCCACACCCAUACAGCCCGUCCUGUAUCCACCAUCAGUGUGUGUGUGUGUGUGCACAUCUCCACACCCAUACAACCCAUCCUGUAUCUAUCAGUAUGUGUGUGUGCACAUCUCCACACCCAUACAACCCGUCCUGUAUCCAUCAGUGUGUGUGUGUGUACACAUCUCCACACCCAUACAACCCAUCCUGUAUCCAUCAGUGUGUGUGUGUGUACACAUCUCCACACCCAUACAACCCAUCCUGUAUCCAUCAGUGUGUGUGUGUGUGCACAUCUCCACACCCAUACAACCCAUCCUGUAUCCAUCAGUGUGUGUGUGUGUGUGUGCACAUCUCCACACCCAUACAACCCAUCCUGUAUCCAUCAGUGUGUGUGUGUGCACAUCUCCACACCCAUACAACCCAUCCUGUAUCCAUCAGUGUGUGUGUGUGCACAUCUCCACACCCAUACAACCCAUCCUGUAUCCCCCAUCAGUGUGUGUGUGUGUACACAUCUCCACACCCACACAGCCCGUCCUGUAUCCCCAUCAGUGUGUGUGUGCACAUCUCCACACCCAUACAACCCAUCCUGUAUCCAUCAGUGUGUGUGUGUGCACAUCUCCACACCCACACAGCCCGUCCUGUAUCCCCCAUCAGUGUGUGUGUGUACACAUCUCCACACCCAUACAACCCAUCCUGUAUCCAUCAGUGUGUGUGUGUGCACAUCUCCACACCCACACAGCCCGUCCUGUAUCCAUCAGUGUGUAUGUGUGUGUACACAUCUCCACACCCACACAGCCCGUCCUGUAUCCCCCAUCAGUGUGUGUGUGUGUACACAUCUCCACACCCAUACAACCCAUCCUGUAUCCAUCAGUGUGUGUGUGUGUGCACAUCUCCACACCCAUACAACCCAUCCUGUAUCCAUCAGUGUGUGUGUGUGCACAUCUCCACACCCACACAGCCCGUCCUGUAUCCCCCAUCAGUGUGUGUGUGUGUACACAUCUCCACACCCACACAGCCCGUCCUGUAUCCCCCAUCAGUGUGUGUGUGUGCGUGUACACAUCUCCACACCCAUACAGCCCGUCCUGUAUCCCCCAUCAGUGUGUGUGUGUACACAUCUCCACACCCAUACAGCCCAUCCUGUAUCCCCCAUCAGUGUGUGUGUGUGUACACAUCUCCACACCCAUACAGCCCGUCCUGUAUCCCCCAUCAGUGUGUGUGUGUGUGUACACAUCUCCACACCCAUACAGCCCAUCCUGUAUCCCCCAUCAGUGUGUGUGUGUGCACAUCUCCACACCCAUACAGCCUGCACCUGUGUUCCCUGUCAUGCAGUAGGUUCUUAAAUGGUAGUGAUGUGGUUGCUUACCCAGUGUGUGUGUGUUAA
rnacentral:lncRNA from 1 species